UCCUACGGGAGGCAGCAGUGGGGAAUAUUGCACAAUGGGGGAAACCCUGAUGCAGCGACGCCGCGUGAGUGAAGAAGUAUUUCGGUAUGUAAAGCUCUAUCAGCAGGGAAGAAAAUGACGGUACCUGACUAAGAAGCCCCGGCUAACUACGUGCCAGCAGCCGCGGUAAU
rnacentral:rRNA from 1 species